rnacentral:rRNA from 1 species
UGGGGAAUUUUGGACAAUGGGCGAAAGCCUGAUCCAGCAAUGCCGCGUGUGUGAAGAAGGCCUUCGGGUUGUAAAGCACUUUUGUCCGGAAAGAAAUCCUUGGCUCUAAUACAGUCGGGGGAUGGACGGUACCGGAAGAAUAAGCACCGGCUAACUACGUGCCAGCAGCCGCGGUAAUACGUAGGGUGCAAGCGUUAAUCGGAAUUACUGGGCGUAAAGCGUGCGCAGGCGGUUUGCUAAGACCGAUGUGAAAUCCCCGGGCUCAACCUGGGAACUGCAUUGGUGACUGGCAGGCUAGAGUAUGGCAGAGGGGGGUAGAAUUCCACGUGUAGCAGUGAAAUGCGUAGAGAUGUGGAGGAAUACCGAUGGCGAAGGCAGCCCCCUGGGCCAAUACUGACGCUCAUGCACGAAAGCGUGGGGAGCAAACAGGAUUAGAUACCCUGGUAGUCCACGCCCUAAACGAUGUCAACUAGUUGUUGGGGAUUCAUUUCCUUAGUAACGUAGCUAACGCGUGAAGUUGACCGCCUGGGGAGUACGGUCGCAAGAUUAAAACUCAAAGGAAUUGACGGGGUCAUAGCUGUUUCCU